UACGUAGGGGGCAAGCGUUGUCCGGAAUCAUUGGGCGUAAAGCGCGUGUAGGCGGUUCGGUAAGUCUGCUGUGAAAGUCCAGGGCUCAACCCUGGGAUGCCGGUGGAUACUGUCGGACUAGAGUACGGAAGAGGCGAGUGGAAUUCCCGGUGUAGCGGUGAAAUGCGCAGAUAUCGGGAGGAACACCAAUUGCGAAGGCAGCUCGCUGGGACGUUACUGACGCUGAGACGCGAAGCGUGGGAGCAACAGG
rnacentral:rRNA from 1 species